rnacentral:lncRNA from 1 species
GUCCACCUGCCGCAGGGUGGGGCUGCUAGGGCCCCGCCGCGCGUGGGGGUCGCGGGGCUGCCCGGCGCGUGGAGGUCGGGCCACGUGCCGCUCCUGCGCGCCUGGGUGCGCAUCCCCAGCAGGGGCGCCGCUUUGCAUGUGAUUCCCCCCCCCCCCGCACCGAGUCCUCCCACGGGGCUCUGCACUGUCUACGCAGCCAGGUGCGCUCCGCAGGGACCCGGAGCUCUUGUCCCCAGGGACUCGAAGAAGGCAGCUCGGAAUCCCUUUCCCGGAGCGCCACCUACAGGCUGUCCAGAGAGACUCGGGCUACCCCCGCCCCCACUUCCGUUGGCUUCUAGGGGGUUGGCCCUGGCGGGUCCGCUGAGCCCCAACCCAGCUGCGCACUAAUGGAAACCAGAGGAAGGGCUGCGCAACGCACCCCGGGGGUGGGGCGGGGGGAAUGAGGACAAAAGGACACUCCGACCCAGUCCUGAUGGAGGCAGAGCCCAGAUUUCUUGGGCUAUUUUGAAAUGUUUUAAUGGCUUAAAUAUACGUAUAUAACAAGCUUGUUUGCCACUUAUAACAACUAAAGCUAGAAGAGGUACGCAGCCCCUGCUGUGAGGUCACCGUUUGGGGCCCGUAAGCCGGCACUUGCAGACUGCCCAUGGACAGCAUCACUUACGCUGUCGCGCCGGGGUGCGCUUCAUGGCCCCCUUUUCUAACGUCCUGGAGCCUGCACGGGGAUUCGCAGCAAGCCCAGGCGCUGCUGCUAAACUUCUAGAAAGAGGACGACAGAAUGAACUGGCGGCCUGCACACCCCCCAGUGGACUUAGACUCUCCGAAGGCAGGGCCGCUUCCGGGAUUCGGAGAAGCCUGUGCGUGCUCACCUCCUGUCCCAGAAAUCCUAGGUGUCUUCUUCUAGUGGCGAGAGCCAAGCACCUGACGCCUUCACCUGCUGCUGCUGCUUCCUUUCCUUCUUUGCUGGCGGUUUGCGGAAUGACGAUGCUGCGUCCUUGGAGCAGAAGUGGCAGCCGUGGCCCCAGAAGGCACAGUCCUACCAGCGGCAUCCAGAGGACACGGGUCUGUGUCACAGAACUCCCCGACCGCCCCCCCUCGGGCUCUGUGCCAGGGGACAGGGACCACGUCCACCUGUGAACAGUCAGCGUGGCCACCAGCACGAAUCUGCCGAGAAGCGAGGUCUCCUUCUCGAGAUGAGGACGGCUUCACCCUCCCCAUGACCCCUGGUGGAAGAGGGGGGUGUUAACGGGUGCUGAGGAAGAACACAGGUGCUCACAGCACUCUUGCUACCCAGGUGAGGCCUCGGAACCCGCCGCAGAGUCCCGCUCACCCGGGAACUCGUUGGACCUCGGAGUCCGGACGCCCACCCUCCACCCCCGAGCUCGGAAUCUGCAUUUGACGAGAUGCCCGGGGUGUGGGAUGGCGGCCGGCCCCCGGCGGGGUGGACGGCAAUGCGCAGAGGUAGGCUGGGUGCGCCACGGGGGAGCAGGAAGCCUGUCUUCACGGCACCAAUUUGCCACUGGGAGUCAAAGGCAAGGUCGCCAGCCAAGAGAGGUGUAAAGAAACAGGGUGCGGCCCUCGAGGGGAGUGGUUUAGACAGCAAGGGAGAGAGCGGACCAUGGCCGCGGGUGUGGAUGACUCAUCCUUACUGAGGACACGUGGCGGAGAAGAACACGAAUGUGUCCCCCACCCAUAAUGCUGGCGAUUUCAUCCACCUGUGCAUACAUUGUAACCUAGACGUGACAGUGGGGUGUCUGUUGCAAGCUUGGGAGGGUUGCACAGCCUGUGUGGUCAAGGGGGGAAGGCAAAACAGCGGCUGAAAUUCUGCAUGAGCUCUGCGGGGGAGGAGCUCACUAGGGGGGCAGGGGGACCGGCGGGAAGGACCACAAGACUCAGGGCUCAGCGAUGUCGUGGGUCCAGGGACGUGGGAGGGAGCACCUGAGCACGGGGGAAGGGGGGGUGACACAGGACGUGGUGCACUGGGAAUCCAGCUCAGAGACAGUGCGUCUGCAGGAGGGGGGGCCACCGCCCUAAAGCCCUGGCUGCCACACUGCGGUCCUCAGCGCCUGCUCCUGACCCGCUGCAACCAACACACAUUAAAUCCGGGCUGAGCCAUCUCAGAAAACAAGGCAGACCACAGCCGCAUAUCCCGCUAACAAUGCAAUUAUUCACCUGGCGGAGAAAUAAAAACCUAAUUACGUACA